GGGAGUACAGCUCAUUUGGUAAGGUGCUUGCCUUGCAUGCAUCAGGCCUUGGGUUCAAUCCCCAGUACCACCA
rnacentral:tRNA from 1 species